GAUGCUAUAGUUGUGUGAAUGAUCUUUUGACCUGCAAUGGUAUGACUACUUACAGUGAAGCUGCUGAAGUUUGACGGAUACAUAAACAUAGUCUCAAUGAACCCUUGUAGUGGAUGUUGGUGAUAGUUGGUCCAUUAUAAGAGUAGGAUGUGCAUUAAGAUAGAAUCUAUCGAUCUUGAUAGAAAAGAGUAAUCCUAUGAGAUUUGAGAGACUAAAUUCGAGAGUCUGUGACCACAGCGGUGUGAUUCAUGAAAAAGAGUUUCCAUAAGGAUCACAGUUGGACUUAAGCUGAUCGAAUCUAUCAUAUAAUUGAUGAUGAAAUUUGACGAUUUAUCCAUGACCUACCAUCUAGUUGGGACUCACGAUAGAGGGAUUGAAUCAUACAUGAACUAUACCUUGAGAUUUUUUUUUUGGUUCUACUGGGUUGCCACUAUGUAGUGCUAGGUAUUACUGGUGGAUUGUGAGAGCUCACUAGGGUUGCUCAGGAUCGACAAUCCUUGAUGAGUUAAAGUAGAAUUAUUUCGAUCCAUUAAAAAGAGUUUCAAUGAUACUAUGAUAGAGAUCAUUGUAUAUCUUACUAUCAGAUAGAAG
rnacentral:lncRNA from 1 species